rnacentral:snRNA from 1 species
AAAUGAGUUCCCAGUGAUAUGGCUGUGACAUCUGUCACCCCAUUGAUCACUAGGGUUGAUUCAGCUUAUCUGGUUGGCUAGGCGGGUGUCCCCUUCCUCCCUCACCACUCCAUGUGUGUCCCUCCCUCCUGAAGCUGCACGCUUGGUGGAAGAGGACGACCAUUCCAGAUAGGAGUGUACCGUUCUUCGGUCAAGGGUAUACGAUUGCUACACUCCUUUACUAGAACCUCCAAACAUUUGCAAAAAGCUAUGGCCAAAAUGCAAUAUACAGCAGUGGUCCCCAACCUUUUCUGACCCAUGGACCGGUUGGGGGUGUGGGGUCCAU